UACGAAGGGUGCAAGCGUUGCUCGGAAUUAUUGGGCGUAAAGGGUUGGUAGGUGGUCUUGUUUGUCUAAGGUGAAAUCCCAUGGCUUAACUGUGGAAGUGCCUUAGAAACGGCAAGACUAGAGUCCUAGAGGGGUUUGUGGAAUUCCCGGUGUAGCAGUGAAAUGCGUAGAGAUCGGGAGGAACACCAGCGGCGAAGGCGGCAAACUGGAUAGGCACUGACACUCAACAACGAAAGCGUGGGGAGCAAACAGG
rnacentral:rRNA from 1 species